CUUGGUAGAUUUAGCACGGUAGACCCACCUGAUCCCAUGCCGAACUCAGAAGUGAAAUGCCGUAGCGCCAAUGGUAGUGUGGGGCUUCCCCAUGCGAGAGUAGGGAACUGCCAGGC
rfam:Candidatus Pantoea carbekii DNA, complete genome.